UUUAUUUUAAAUCAAAAUUGCAAACUAAAAUUUUUAAUAUUGAAAAUCGUUAAUUAUCAUGUUUGAUGAUUGCAUGUUUUCUUAGGCCUUAUGGAUAAAUCAACUCUGUGAUCUAGUUAAUCUCUUCUCAGCAUGUGUACUGUGUCCGCUAGUUCUGUAUUUGCAAUGGUUGAUGUGUUUGCAUCGUUAUUUUCAGGUAUAUUCUGAUUCCAAAUGGAACCACCAACACCUUCAAAAACACCAAACGCAGAAAAUUUGAACCCCAACGUAGAACGGAGUAAGCAAAAAGUCACUAGGCAAAAUCCAUUUAAGCUAAUAACAGAGAGGGGAAAGGUGAAAUAGGAAGAGCUGAUGAAGAAAGUACAAGAGAUGAUGGCUGAAGAAGAAAAUUUGAGGAUACCAAUGCACAAAGUCUUCCAUGGACUACAUACGAACCUCAGGUGAGGUCAUGGUGCUUUGUUUGAUGUCACUUUUCGCAGCGCUUGUUAAAAACCUACAUGGAAUGAGAGAAGAAGGCCUCCCUAGUGAUAUUCCAGCAAUUGAUGAUCGUGCUGAAUUUCACCACAGAUGACAGAAGAAGAAGAAAUAAAGAGAUUGAGGAAGGAGCUCGUUCUAAAGGCUCAACCAAAUCCUUAUUUUUGAUAGACCUUUUGUUCGAAGGAGGUAUAACAGGUAGAACAUGUUUUCUGCAAACUGUCAUUUCAUUUUUUUUUUCUCAUUAUGAGUCUUUAUGCAUGAAAGGUCAAUGAAGCCUUCAACAAUACUUAGAAAUCCAAGAUUCAGCACAAGGACCACGGAGUAGCCUUGGAUUGUAGAAUAGAUUUUCUUGUAAAUUUUAGUUUUGGGACUUGCUGGACCUCAUAAUUGUAUCUUUUCUUAGGUUUUGGACUAUAAGUUUAGAAGCCCAUAAUAUAUAAGCCUUUUGGUAGACUAAGCCCAUAGUAUAUAGGUCUUUUAGUAGACUCUUGUAUACUGAUUUUGUAUAAUUGAAAAAUUGAGGUUUUCUUUUAUGUGAGAGUUUUUCUCUUUAG